GGAAACAAGUUCAUUGGUUUUGCUCUCGCUCCCUGUCCUUGCCCUAAUUUUUUUUCCUGGCAGCUGGUGGGAGGAAGGGAGCUGGCAAGGAUGAAAUUUGCAGACAACUUCCCCGACCGCCCGCGAGCGCUGGGGCUCCGCCGUGAGGAGCAGGACAGGUCUCCCCAGGACACACAGGCGCCCAUCGAGCGAGUACAGGGCUUGGCCAGGGCUUUAUUUUUUUCGCUUUUUGGGUUAGAAGAGCUAAAUUUUAUUUCUUAACUCUCUGGUUAAGGAGCUUCCCAGUGCACGGAGAGCGGGAGCGGCUGGCGGCUGAGCAGAGCCGGCACAGCCGGCGCCAGCGCCCCGUCGGGGACCCCCAUCCCCACGGCGGGGCAGGAUCCGUCCCCGGCCGCCCAACCUGGGAUGGCUCCUUUCGCCUCUUCCCUCUUAAUUUUGUUUAGAAACUUGUCAGGUUGGUAGAUAAAGGAGGUGGAAAGAUCAAUCCCGGCUUUUCAUCAGUGUGGGAAAAAGUAUUUCACUAAUCCAUAUUUAUUGGUGUAAGGAACCGGGGGGGGCGGGGGGGUGGAGGGCAAGAGACCCUAAUGGUCAGAGCAAAGGACAGAAGGGACAGUUUAAGGCUGCCCUUUUCCGAGAGGUCACAUGUCACCAAAAUCUUUCGGUUGUCUCGGGAUUGGUUACAUUCUGUUCUCUUUUUUUCUAUUGAGGUUGCCAAGCAACUGGCUAAGACCAGCCAAGAUAUUUUCUUUAUUACAAGUGGAGCAGAAAGCAGCAAGGAGGAGAGAGAUAAAAAAAAAAGGAAAAAAUAAAAAGAAAAAGAAAAAAAGAGAAGAAGUUUAGACAAUUAACAUUUAUAGGAUCACAUAACUUCAUUAACUCGGCUGAGAUUUGGGAAAGAGACUUUAAAAAAAAAAAGGUGGUGGUAGGGAGCGUUAGGAAUUAAAACAAGUUAAAAGGCCGGCAGGUCUGUGGCUAAAACAAUGCCAGAACACCCGGAGCAGCGACAGGGGCUUCCCUCGGAUGGUUCCCGCUUCCCAAAGAGUGGCCAGUCCCAGGCAAUGGCUGCAACCCAGCUCAAGGACCUUCAGCUGCUGCUGCUCUUUUUUCUUUUUAUUAAAUGCUGGCUUUCUUUUGGUUUUCACA